AUCAAACCUCGUUCCUCCGUCUUUGCUCACUCUAGUAUGGGUGAUCUCUAUCUGCUACUCAUAACCCAAAAGAGAGAAACUUCAAUCUCCAAGGAUCUGCAGAGCUUCUCCGGCAACCUCCUCCCGCCGCUCCUCGUCACCGUCACCACCACCGCCAUCACCAAAUCGUACUGCGAACAAAGCCCAGCCGUCUCCCUCUCUCUUUCUCUCUCCUAGCCCACUAUCUCUCUCUCUGAUACUAUCUUUAUCCGCCGCAAACCCUAUCAAAUCUGGGUUCCAUGGUCUCGUCCUAUAAAUAGUGUAGAAUCAGUACAAUUCAGAUGGAGGGGAAGGAAAAACGUAGCAAGGAUAUGCAGAACGGUUCUGGCGCCAAGGAGGAACCUACUCAGCCACGUCAGACACAAGCCGGUGAGGAUCACAUGGCUAUCGAUGAGCUCAAGGCCGGCGGUGAUGCAGUCUUGGACUUGGGUCCUCCACUUCUCAGUCCUCCAAUCAGUAAUCUCCAACUCCAAAUCGGAUUAGCCGAUUAGCCGAUUAGGCAUAUGAUGUUGUUGGCGAAUUAUAUCAAAAAUAUGUUCAUAUCCUCGAGAUGAUUUUCCGCCUUCAGCACGCUUGUAAUCACCCACUGCUUCUUGAAAGAGAUGACUCUGACUCUGUGUUGCAUUGUAUGCAUGAUUGAAUAAAAUGAAAUGGGAUGGAUUUGUCAAUAGAGUGAAGAUUGGGAGGACGGGACGCCGUUGCAGCAAGCAGCAUUCAUCAGGGAGCUCGAGACUUUCCAUAAGGAGAGGUCCUUGGAAUUUAAGCCCCCGAAGUUUUAUGGAGAGCCACUUAAUUGCCUCAAGUUAUGGAGAGCUGUUAUUAAACUUGGUGGUUAUGAUGUGGUAAGAAUUCAUUUAACUACAUUUGCAAAGAAUUGAACUUGGUACGUGGUAAAACCAAUGGUACCCCGGAUACAGGCCAUUAGUGAACACGUUUACUGAAUUGCAGCCUUCACCGGAGUAUCUUAUCUGGAUAAAAAUUAAAAAAAAGAAGCUUGCUAUAGUAGUUGUAGUUAACUGAAAUUUCCAUAUUUCACACUGGAUUAGUCAUAGAAUUGAUCGCCGAACUAUGAAUAACUUAUGUUAGUCAAUUAAAAUUGUUGUUUUCUGACACAAUGCAUUUAGUUAAUGGCGAUGUUGUAUGGUACAUUCAAAUAAUUCGUUAUUUUUCUCCAAAGUUGAUCCAAUCAAUUAAAGCUAUAUUGGUGACAGUAUGAAUGUAAGGUGAUAGAUAGUUGUUCUUUCACACGAUGCAUGUAUUUGAUGGCACUGUUGUAUGGUACAUUCAAAUGACUUCAUU